UGCCUAAUACAUAAAAUCGAGCGGAAUGAUGGGAGCUUGCUCCCUGAUUUUAGCGGCGGACGGGUGAGUAACACGUGGGCAACCUACCUUGUAGAUUGGGAUAACUCCGGGAAACCGGGGCUAAUACCGAAUAAUCCAUCUUGCUUCAUGGCGAGAUGUUAAAAGGCGGCUUCGGCUGUCACUGCAAGAUGGGCCCGCGGCGCAUUAGCUAGUUGGUAGGGUAACGGCCUACCAAGGCGACGAUGCGUAGCCGACCUGAGAGGGUGAUCGGCCACACUGGGACUGAGACACGGCCCAGACUCCUACGGGAGGCAGCAGUAGGGAAUCUUCCACAAUGGACGAAAGUCUGAUGGAGCAACGCCGCGUGGGUGAAGAAGGUUUUCGGAUCGUAAAACUCUGUUGUAAGGGAAGAACACGUACGAGAGUAACUGCUCGUACCUUGACGGUACCUUAUUAGAAAGCCACGGCUAACUACGUGCCAGCAGCCGCGGUAAUACGUAGGUGGCAAGCGUUGUUCGGAAUUAUUGGGCGUAAAAGCGCGCGCAGGCGGUCCUUUAAGUCUGAAUGUGAAAGCCACGGCUCAACCGUGGA
rnacentral:rRNA from 1 species